rnacentral:lncRNA from 1 species
CCGAGAGGUCGAGACCUGAGAAGACUUGGCCGAGAGGCUGAGACCUUAGAAGACUUGGCCGAGAGGCCGAGAUCUGAGAAGACUUGGCCGAGAUGCCGAGACCUUGGAUGGCUUGGCCGAGAUGGCCGAGGGGCCGAGACCUUAGAAGACUUGGCCGAGAGGCCGAGACCUGAGAAGACUUGGCCGAGACGACCGAGACCACUGAAACAUGGCCGAUGGCCGACCCAUGCCAUGAUGAUUUGGCCGAUGGCCGACCCCUAUUACAGUUAACGCUCAAACCAAGAUCAGUGAAGUUAAU